rnacentral:rRNA from 1 species
CACGUAGGGCGCAAGCGUUGUCCGGAAUUAUUGGGCGUAAAGAGCUCGUAGGCGGUCUGCCACGUCCGCUGUGAAAACCUAGGGCUUAACCCUGGGCUUGCAGUAGAUACGGGCAGACUAGAGGUAGGUAGGGGAGAAUGGAAUUCCCGGUGUAGCGGUGAAAUGCGCAGAUAUCGGGAGGAACACCGGUGGCGAAGGCGGUUCUCUGGGCCUUACCUGACGCUGAGGAGCGAAAGCGUGGGGAGCAAACAGG